rnacentral:rRNA from 1 species
UGAGGAAUAUUGGUCAAUGGACGAGAGUCUGAACCAGCCAAGUCGCGUGAAGGAAGACGGCCCUACGGGUUGUAAACUUCUUUUGUAAGGGAAUAAAUAGUCUUACGCGCUAAGACGUUGCAGGUACCUUACGAAUAAGGAUCGGCUAACUCCGUGCCAGCAGCCGCGGUAAUACGGAGGAUCCGAGCGUUAUCCGGAUUUAUUGGGUUUAAAGGGUGCGCAGGCGGCAUGUUAAGUCGGCGGUGAAAUUUUGCAGCUCAACUGUAAAACGAGCCUUCGAAACUGGCAAGCUUGAGUGUGGAUGAAGUAGGCGGAAUUUGUGGUGUAGCGGUGAAAUGCAUAGAUAUCACAAAGAACACCGAUUGCGCAGGCAGCUUACUAAACCCAUAACUGACGCUCA